rnacentral:rRNA from 1 species
AUGCUGAGGGAGGCAAGAGAGGUGUUCGACCGGAUGCUGGAGAGGAACGUGGUCAUCUGGACGGUCAUGGUGAAGGCCUACACCGACCACGGUCAUCUUCAGGAGGCCGUGGAGCUGUUCGACAGGAUGCCCCAGAGGAACCCGUAUUCUUGGAGCGCCAUGAUCUCCGGUUUCCUCCGUGCUGGGAAAGUGGACGAGGCGGUUCGGCUGUUCGAGAGGAUGCCGGAUAGGAACGUGGUUUCUUGGACCACAAUGGUCACUGGCUUGGCGCAGAACGGCCGCGUUUCGAUGGUGAGAGAGUUCUUCGACAGAAUGCCCAGAAACAAGGACAUUGCAGCGUGGAAUGCGAUGAUCACUGCUUAUGCCAACGCUGGCCAGAUGAACAAGGCUCAGAGAUUGUUCGAUUCUAUGCCCGCAAAGGACCUGGUGAGCUGGAGUGCCAUAAUCCAUGGCUAUGCCAAAAACAAGCACAAGGGCGAAGUCAUGCGUUUAUUUCUUCUCAUGCUCCGGUCAGCAGUAUCCCCUGACGGAACUACAUUGAUCAGUGUCUUGGUUGCAUCCGAGAGCACAGUUGAAGUUGGGCAAAUCCAUGGCUUCGCUACCACACGAGGUCUCCUGUCAGACACCUCCUUAGGAAACGCUCUGCUCACCAUGUAUUCAAGGAGCGGUGACCUGCACUCUGCCUGGCAAGUUUUCAACAUGUUACAAGAGAAGGAUCCCGUCACAUGGACAUCGAUGAUGCGGGCCUUCGCCAACCAUGGCCGUGCCUCCUACGCGCUGCAGGCCUGUGCUCAGAUGUUGCAACAUGGAUACAAGCCCAGCUCAACCACCUUCAUCGCCGCGUUAUCAGCCUGCAGCCAUGCCAGUGUCGUCGACAAAGGCCGUGCCUCCAGGGCGCAUUGCCGCGUAAGCGUCCAAGGUGGGACGCUUUAUGAACAAUGGUGGGGGAAGCUCUUCCAAAGUCUGACGGUCCCUCUGGUUCGGGUUUGGGAGGCUACUACACGGUUCUGG